AGUGAAAUUGCUUGUUCAUAUGGUAACCAUAUUUUAUUUUUUGAGAAACUACCAAAUUGCUUUCCAAAGUAGCUGCACCAUUUUACAUUCCCACCAGAAAU
rnacentral:pre_miRNA from 1 species